rnacentral:rRNA from 1 species
UCAGGAUGAACGCUAGCGACAGGCCUAACACAUGCAAGUCGAGGGGCAGCGCGGGAGAAGCUUGCUUUCCUGGCGGCGACCGGCGCACGGGUGCGUAACAGGUGUGCAAUCUGUCCAUAGUCGGGGGAUAGCCCAGCGAAAGCUGAAUUAACACUCCAUGUGAAUCGAAGCCGCAUGACUUUGAUUUGAAACGCAAGGACUAUGGGUGAGCACGCUUCUGAUUAGCUAGUUGGUGGGGUAACGGCUCACCAAGGCGACGAUCAGUAGGGGUUCUGAGAGGAAGGUCCCCCCACAUUGGAACUGAGACACGGUCCAAACUCCUACGGGAGGCAGCAGUGAGGAAUAUUGGUCAAUGGGCGAGAGCCUGAACCAGCCAAGUCGCGUUGAAGGAUGAAGGUUCUAUGGAUUGUAAACUUCUUUUGUCCGAGGGUAAAAAAGGCCACGUGUGGCUUCUUGCAAGUAUCGGACGAAUAAGCAUCGGCUAACUCCGUGCCAGCCGCUGC